UACGUAGGGGGCAAGCGUUAUCCGGAUUUACUGGGUGUAAAGGGAGCGUAGACGGCAGCGCAAGUCUGAAGUGAAAUGCCAGGGCUUAACCCUGGAACUGCUUUGGAAACUGUGCAGCUAGAGUGCAGGAGAGGUAAGUGGAAUUUCUAGUGUAGCGGUGAAAUGCGUAGAUAUUAGGAGGAACACCAGUGGCGAAGGCGGCUUACUGGACUGUAACUGACGUUGAGGCUCGAAAGCGUGGGGAGCAAACAGG
rnacentral:rRNA from 1 species